rnacentral:rRNA from 1 species
GUGCUAACGUCCGUCGUGGAGAGGGAAACAACCCAGACCGCCAGCUAAGGUCCCCAAGUACUAGUUAAGUGGGAAACGAUGUGGGAAGGCAUAGACAGCCAGGAGGUUGGCUUAGAAGCAGCCACCCUUUAAAGAAAGCGUAAUAGCUCACUGGUCGAGUCGGCCUGCGCGGAAGAUGUAACGGGGCUAAAACUAGUCACCGAAGCUGCGGAUGUGCGCGAAGGCGCACGUGGUAGGGGAGCGUUCUGUAGGCUGAUGAAGGUGCAUUGAGAAGUGUGCUGGAGGUAUCAGAAGUGCGAAUGCUGACAUGAGUAACGAUAAUGUGGGUGAAAAGCCCACACGCCGGAAGUCCCAGGUUUCCUGCACGACGUUAAUCGGAGCAGGGUGAGUCGGCCCCUAAGGCGAGGCUGAAGAGCGUAGUCGAUGGGAACCAGGUUAAUAUUCCUGGACUUUUUAUAAGUGGUGAAGUGGGGACGAAGAAGGCUAGGUGAGCCAGGCGUUGGUUGUCCUGGUACUUGCAUGUAGGGGGGAAGACUUGGCAAAUCCGGUUUUCCAUAACUCUGAGGUGCGAAGUGGUUCUGACCUUUUGGUACAGAGAAGUCAUUGAUGCCCGGCUUCCAGGAAAAGCUGCUAGCCAUAACUUAUAGAGAACCGUACCGCAAACCGACACAGGUGGACAGGUAGAGAAUACUAAGGCGCUUGAGAGAACUCGGGUGAAGGAACUAGGCAAAAUGGUACCGUAACUUCGGGAGAAGGUACGCCCUUUCUGGUGAUGGGAUUUACUUUCAGAGCUGGAGAGGGCCGCAGAGACCAGGUGGCUGCGACUGUUUAUUAAAAACACAGCACUCUGCAAAUUCGUAAGAAGACGUAUAGGGUGUGACGCCUGCCCGGUGCCGGAAGGUUAAUUGAUGGGGUUAUCUUCGGAGAAGCUCUUGAUCGAAGCCCCGGUAAACGGCGGCCGUAACUAUAACGGUCCUAAGGUAGCGAAAUUCCUUGUCGGGUAAGUUCCGACCUGCACGAAUGGCGUAACGAUGGCCACACUGUCUCCACCCGAGACUCAGUGAAAUUGAAAUCGCUGUGAAGAUGCAGUGUACCCGCGGCUAGACGGAAAGACCCCGUGAACCUUUACUAUAGUUUUGCACUGGACUUUGAUGAUGACUGUGUAGGAUAGGUGGGAGGCUGUGAAGUGAGGACGCUAGUUCUCAUGGAGCCGCCCUUGAAAUACCACCCUGUUGUUAUUGAGGUUCUAACUUGGUCCAGUAAUCCUGGAUGAGGACAGUGUAUGAUGGGUAGUUUGACUGGGGCGGUCUCCUCCCAAAGAGUAACGGAGGAGCACAAAGGUACCCUCGGUACGGUCGGACAUCGUACCAAGAGUGUAAAGGCAAAAGGGUGCUUGACUGCGAGAGUGACGGCUCGAGCAGGAACGAAAGUUGGUCUUAGUGAUCCGGUGGUUCUGAAUGGAAGGGCCAUCGCUCAACGGAUAAAAGGUACUCCGGGGAUAACAGGCUGAUACCGCCCAAGAGUUCAUAUCGACGGCGGUGUUUGGCACCUCGAUGUCGGCUCAUCACAUCCUGGGGCUGAAGCAGGUCCCAAGGGUAUGGCUGUUCGCCAUUUAAAGUGGUACGCGAGCUGGGUUUAGAACGUCGUGAGACAGUUCGGUCCCUAUCUGCCGUGGGCGUAGGAAAAUUGAGAGGAGCUGCUCCUAGUACGAGAGGACCGGAGUGGACGAACCUCUGGUGCACCGGUUGUCACGCCAGUGGCAUGGCCGGGUAGCUAAGUUCGGACGGGAUAACCGCUGAAAGCAUCUAAGCGGGAAGCCUCCCUCAAGAUGAGUUUUCCCAUGAAGCCCGUUGAAGACUACGACGUUGAUAGGCAAGGUGUGGAAGCGCAGUAAUGCGUGAAGCUAACUUGUACUAAUUGGCUGAUUGUCUUGACCAUAUAAUCUGAG